rnacentral:rRNA from 1 species
GACGAACGCUGGCGGCGUGCUUAACACAUGCAAGUCGAAAGGAGUGGCGAACGGGUGAGUAACACGUGGGUGAUCUGCCUUGCACUUCGGGAUAAGCUUGGGAAACUGGGUCUAAUACCGGAUAGUGCAAGAUGAGCUCGCGGCCUAUAAGCUUGUUGGUGGGGUAAUGGCCUACCAUGGCGUCGACGGGUAGCCGGCCUGAGAGGGUGUACCGCCACAUUGGGACUGAGAUACGGCCCAGACGCCUACGGUGUGCAGCAGAGAGGAAUAUUUCACAAUGGGCGGAAGACUGAUGCAGCGAGGCCGCGUGGGGGAUGAAGGCCUUCGGGUUGUAAACUCCUUUCGACAGGGACGCGGUACCUGGAUAAGAAGCACCGGCUAACUACGUGCCAGCAGCCGCGGUAAUAC